rnacentral:rRNA from 1 species
AGUGAACGCUGGCGGUAGGCCUAACACAUGCAAGUCGAACGGCAGCACAGCAAGAGCUUGCUCUUACGGGUGGCGAGUGGCGGACGGGUGAGGAAUACAUCGGAAUCUACUUUUUCGUGGGGGAUAACGUAGGGAAACUUACGCUAAUACCGCAUACGACCUACGGGUGAAAGCAGGGGAUCUUCGGAACUUGCGCGAUUGAAUGAGCCGAUGUCGGAUUAGCUAGUUGGCGGGGUAAAGGCCCACCAAGGCGACGAUCCGUAGCUGGUCUGAGAGGAUGAUCAGCCACACUGGAACUGAGACACGGUCCAGACUCCUACGGGAGGCAGCAGUGGGGAAUAUUGGACAAUGGGCGCAAGCCUGAUCCAGCCAUACCGCGUGGGUGAAGAAGGCCUUCGGGUUGUAAAGCCCUUUUGUUGGGAAAGAAAAGCAGCAGGUUAAUACCCCGCUGUUCUGACGGUACCCAAAGAAUAAGCACCGGCUAACUUCGUG